GGUGUGCUGGCGCAAUGGUAGCGCGUAGUCCUCCUAUUGUCUGUCAUUUGGCAACAGGAAACCAGACUAAGGCUCAGGGUUCGAGUCCCUGGUAUACCG